AUGACCGUUUUCUUCCCACUUGACACUGCAAGACUACGGCUGCAAGUGGAUGAGAAGAGGAAAGCCAGGUCCACUCCUGCCAUUCUGUCAGAGAUUGUCAAGGAAGAGGGGGUUGGUUGUAUCUGUCCCCCUGCCUGUCCUCUCUGCAGGCUGGCGCCCUACAGGGGCUGGCUCCCAGUGAUCUGCAGUCUCUGCUGCUCCAACUUCGUCUACUUCUACUGCUUCCACAGCCUGAGAGCCAGCUGGCUCUGGGGACACAAGUCAACUCCAAGCAGAGACCUGCUAUUGGGCACCGCUGCAGGUGUAGUGAAUGUGCUUAUGACCACUCCGCUGUGGGUGGUCAACACACUACUCAAGCUUCAGGGGGCAAAGUUCCACAAUGUAGACAUCCUUCCUACUAACUACUCAGGCAUCAUGGAUGCCUUUGUGCAGAUCAUUGACGAAGGGGUGGGGGCCCUGUGGAACGGAACAUUCCCCUCUCUCCUGCUGGUGCUCAACCCGGCUGUCCAGUUCAUGAUCUGAGGGCUUGAAGAGGCAGCUGAGAAGCUUGGUUCACAGAGAGUUGUUGUCUCUUGAGGUCUUUCUGAUUGGUGCCAUAGGCAAAGCAGUGGCCACCACAGUCACAUACCCACUACAGACUGUACAGUCCAUCCUGAGGUUUGGUCAACACACGCAGCACACAGACGGAUCACCAUUGCUGAACAGCCUGAGAAGUGUGAUGCAUCUGCUGAUCAAUAGAGUGAAGAAGUACAGCAUGCUGGGCCUGUUCAAAGGCCUGGAAGCUAAACUCCUACAGACUGUCCUGACCGCUGCCCUCAUGUUCCUGCUCUACGAGAAGAUCGCCAGCAGCACUUUCAGAGUCAUGUGAUUGAAGAGGCCUGCGUUCAGCCACUAGCCUGUCUGUUACAUCAGACAUCCAAUCCCAUAUUGCUCCCUAUCUGUCUCCCCCGUAGCCCUAACCCCUCAAUGUUGGCAUGUCUAAAGGGUCUGGAUAGGUAUACGCAGUGUGGCUAGGGGUAAAUCUUCCACCGUAUUGCUUCCACCUUACAGAUAUGCAAGCGUCAAAAGGUUAGGGCCAAAGGGAGGGGAAGGGAUCGAACUGAGACCAGCUGAGACUGUACCAGAGAUAUUAGAGAAAGGAUGAGAUAGCAGUCCCAUUGGGCAAUGAACGGGAGGAAUGUAUAACGCUUCACCCAGAAGACUGUCGACCAAUCACUUGGUCCACGCGGUGCAUUCUGGGCAACUCUGGGACAAGAAGAGCUCUCCUUCAAACAGUGAAUGGGAGUCAAUUGGGCGCUAGCUCGAAAACCCCAAAUUAGCAUGAAUAACCGAAACCCUUUUCCUAACCUUAAUUCUCCUAAUCUGCUUCGUAAAUUGUCCUAACCUGCUAUGAAAAGCCAAAUCUGACGUUCAUUUGACAAAAGCUGUAUCCCUUCUAGCCAUGACCGAGCUCUCCUUGUCCAAGGUUUUUUGUCUAUUUAUUUUUCUGUAACUGCCAUUUUUGUGGAAGUAGACACCACUUGUUCCUCAGACCUCCUGUGGAUUUCACCAUUUUGUACUUUCUAUGUUCUUCUAAGGUUAGCUGAUUAACAAAAUCCACAAAUUAUUUAGUGAUGCAUUGUUGCUCUUGUCAAAUCCCUGGAAAUGUUUUCAUUGUGUCAUUAACUGUCUCUCUGACAAACGUAUAGAAUAAUUAAGGGAUGUAUUUAAAUGUAUUUUUGUACAGUGCAAUGUCAUGUAUGGAUAAUUCACCAACAUUUCAGAUUCUCAGAAAGGUAGAAAUAAAAUGUUGCUUCUAAAAUAA